rnacentral:rRNA from 1 species
UACGUAGGCAGCGAGCGUUGUUCGGAAUUACUGGGCGUAAAGAGUGUGUAGGCGGUGUUCCCAGUCUGUUGUGAAAUCUCCCGGCUUAACUGGGAGGGUGCAGCGGAAACUAGAAUGCUAGAGGGUGGGAGAGGUAAGCGGAAUUCCUGGUGUAGCGGUGAAAUGCGUAGAUAUCAGGAGGAACACCAGUGGCGAAGGCGGCUUCCUGGCCUGCAACUGACGCUGAGACGCGAAAGCGUGGGGAGCGAACCGG